AAUCAAACCGGGAGAUAGCUGGUUCUCCCCGAAAGCUAUUUAGGUAGCGCCUCGUGAAUUCAUCUCCGGGGGUAGAGCACUGUUUCGGCAAGGGGGUCAUCCCGACUUACCAACCCGAUGCAAACUGCGAAUACCGGAGAAUGUUAUCACGGGAGACACACGGCGGGUGCUAACGUCCGUCGUGAAGAGGGAAACAACCCAGACCGCCAGCUAAGGUCCCAAAGUCAUGGUUAAGUGGGAAACGAUGUGGGAAGGCCCAGACAGCCAGGAUGUUGGCUUAGAAGCAGCCAUCAUUUAAAGAAAGCGUAAUAGCUCACUGGUCGAGUCGGCCUGCGCGGAAGAUGUAACGGGGCUAAACCAUGCACCGAAGCUGCGGCAGCGACGCUGAUGCGUUGUUGGGUAGGGGAGCGUUCUGUAAGCCUGCGAAGGUGUGCUGUGAGGCAUGCUGGAGGUAUCAGAAGUGCGAAUGCUGACAUAAGUAACGAUAAAGCGGGUGAAAAGCCCGCUCGCCGGAAGACCAAGGGUUCCUGUCCAACGUUAAUCGGGGCAGGGUGAGUCGACCCCUAAGGCGAGGCCGAAAGGCGUAGUCGAUGGGAAACAGGUUAAUAUUCCUGUACUUGGUGUUACUGCGAAGGGGGGACGGAGAAGGCUAUGUUGGCCGGGCGACGGUUGUCCCGGUUUAAGCGUGUAGGCUGGUUUUCCAGGCAAAUCCGGAAAAUCAAGGCUGAGGCGUGAUGACGAGGCACUACGGUGCUGAAGCAACAAAUGCCCUGCUUCCAGGAAAAGCCUCUAAGCAUCAGGUAACAUCAAAUCGUACCCCAAACCGACACAGGUGGUCAGGUAGAGAAUACCAAGGCGCUUGAGAGAACUCGGGUGAAGGAACUAGGCAAAAUGGUGCCGUAACUUCGGGAGAAGGCACGCUGAUAUGUAGGUGAAGUCCCUCGCGGAUGGAGCUGAAAUCAGUCGAAGAUACCAGCUGGCUGCAACUGUUUAUUAAAAACACAGCACUGUGCAAACACGAAAGUGGACGUAUACGGUGUGACGCCUGCCCGGUGCCGGAAGGUUAAUUGAUGGGGUUAGCCGCAAGGCGAAGCUCUUGAUCGAAGCCCCGGUAAACGGCGGCCGUAACUAUAACGGUCCUAAGGUAGCGAAAUUCCUUGUCGGGUAAGUUCCGACCUGCACGAAUGGCGUAAUGAUGGCCAGGCUGUCUCCACCCGAGACUCAGUGAAAUUGAACUCGCUGUGAAGAUGCAGUGUACCCGCGGCAAGACGGAAAGACCCCGUGAACCUUUACUAUAGCUUGACACUGAACAUUGAGCCUUGAUGUGUAGGAUAGGUGGGAGGCUUAGAAGUGUGGACGCCAGUCUGCAUGGAGCCGACCUUGAAAUACCACCCUUUAAUGUUUGAUGUUCUAACGUUGACCCGUAAUCCGGGUUGCGGACAGUGUCUGGUGGGUAGUUUGACUGGGGCGGUCUCCUCCUAAAGAGUAACGGAGGAGCACGAAGGUUGGCUAAUCCUGGUCGGACAUCAGGAGGUUAGUGCAAUGGCAUAAGCCAGCUUGACUGCGAGCGUGACGGCGCGAGCAGGUGCGAAAGCAGGUCAUAGUGAUCCGGUGGUUCUGAAUGGAAGGGCCAUCGCUCAACGGAUAAAAGGUACUCCGGGGAUAACAGGCUGAUACCGCCCAAGAGUUCAUAUCGACGGCGGUGUUUGGCACCUCGAUGUCGGCUCAUCACAUCCUGGGGCUGAAGUAGGUCCCAAGGGUAUGGCUGUUCGCCAUUUAAAGUGGUACGCGAGCUGGGUUUAGAACGUCGUGAGACAGUUCGGUCCCUAUCUGCCGU
rnacentral:rRNA from 1 species